rnacentral:rRNA from 1 species
GACGAACGCUGGCGGCGUGCUUAACACAUGCAAGUCGAACGGAAAGGCCCUGCUUUUGUGGGGUGCUCGAGUGGCGAACGGGUGAGUAACACGUGAGUAACCUGCCCUUGACUUUGGGAUAACUUCAGGAAACUGGGGCUAAUACCGGAUAGGAGCUCCUGCUGCAUGGUGGGGGUUGGAAAGUUUCGGCGGUUGGGGAUGGACUCGCGGCUUAUCAGCUUGUUGGUGGGGUAGUGGCUUACCAAGGCUUUGACGGGUAGCCGGCCUGAGAGGGUGACCGGCCACAUUGGGACUGAGAUACGGCCCAGACUCCUACGGGAGGCAACAGUGGGGAAUAUUGACAAUGGGCGGAAGCCUGAUGCAGCAACGCCGCGUGCGGGAUGACGGCCUUCGGGUUGUAAACCGCUUUCGCCUGUGACGAAGCGUGAGUGACGGUAAUGGGUAAAGAAGCACCGGCUAACUACGUG